rnacentral:rRNA from 1 species
GACGAACGCUGGCGGCGUGCUUAACACAUGCAAGUCGAGCGGUAAGGCCCUUUCGGGGGUACACGAGCGGCGAACGGGUGAGUAACACGUGGGUGACCUGCCUUUAGCUCUGGGAUAAGCCUGGGAAACCGGGUCUAAUACCGGAUACGACUCCGCGGCGCAUGUUGUGGGGUGGAAAGCCUUGUGCGGCUGGAGAUGGGCCCGCGGCCUAUCAGCUUGUUGGUGGGGUGAUGGCCUACCAAGGCGACGACGGUAGCCGGCCUGAGAGGCGACCGGCCACACUGGACUGAGACACGGCCCAGACUCCUACGGGAGGCAGCAGGUGGGGAAUAUUGGACAAUGGGCGAAAGCCUGAUCCAGCCAUGCCGCGUGAGUGAUGAAGGCCCUAGGGUUGUAAAGCUCUUUCGUCAGGGACGAUAAUG